rnacentral:tRNA from 1 species
GGGGCUUUAGCUCAGUUGGUAGAGCGCCUGUUUUGCAAGCAGGAGGUCAACGGUUCGACCCCGUUAAGCUCCACGA